GCAGCCAUCUGCGGCUCCAACUCGUACCAAUGGCUCUGACCAUUGGGGGCAACUUGGGGGUUCAGUGUCUUGUACAGGGACACUUCAACACGUGGACUGCAGGCACUGUGAUUCGAAACUGCAACCCUCCAAUUGGGAGAUGACUGUUCUACCCACUGAACCACAGAGCCACUGAAGCUGUUACAGCAGUAGUGGGAGGGCGCUGCAGAAGGUGGCUGCUUCUUCAGAAUCUCAAGUUCCUCGGAAGCCUGUCAAAGCAUGUGCUCUCCUGCCUUUGCGGCAGCUCCAGCCCUUCCAUGGAAAUGGGAAAGGAAAGGGCUCAUCAAGAACUCAUCUCCCAGGGAAAUGUUUCCCUUUAUCCUGAGCCAACAUUAAAUAUCACCAUGUGAUUGAUAUUAUAAAUCAUA